AUUGAACGCUGGCGGCAUGCUUUACACAUGCAAGUCGAACGGUAACAGGCCGCAAGGUGCUGACGAGUGGCGAACGGGUGAGUAAUGCAUCGGAACGUGCCCAGUCGUGGGGGAUAACGCAGCGAAAGCUGCGCUAAUACCGCAUACGAUCUAUGGAUGAAAGCGGGGGACCGAAAGGCCUCGCGCGAUUGGAACGGCCGAUGUCAGAUUAGGUAGUUGGUGGGGUAAAGGCUCACCAAGCCAACGAUCUGUAGCUGGUCUGAGAGGACGACCAGCCACACUGGGACUGAGACACGGCCCAGACUCCUACGGGAGGCAGCAGUGGGGAAUUUUGGACAAUGGGCGCAAGCCUGAUCCAGCCAUUCCGCGUGCAGGAUGAAAGCCCUCGGGUUGUAAACUGCUUUUGUACGGAACGAAACGGUGCUAGCUAAUACCUGGCGCUAAUGACGGUACCGUAAGAAUAAGCACCGGCUAACUACGUGCCAGCCGCCGCAGUAACAC
rnacentral:rRNA from 1 species